GACGAACGCUGGCGGCGUGCCUAACACAUGCAAGUCGAACGAAGCUCCAGUCACUGCGUUUUCGGACAAGGUGGGUGGAUGACUUAGUGGCGGACGGGUGAGUAACGCGUGAGCAACCUGCCCUUCGGAGGGGGACAACAGCUGGAAACGGCUGCUAAUACCGCAUGAAAUAUAUCUGAGGCAUCUUGGAUAUAUCAAAGAUUUAUCGCCGAAGGAUGGGCUCACGUCUGAUUAGCUAGUUGGUGGGGUAAUGGCCCACCAAGGCUGCGAUCAGUAGCCGGACUGAGAGGUUGACCGGCCACAUUGGGACUGAGAUACGGCCCAGACUCCUACGGGAGGCAGCAGUGGGGAAUAUUGGGCAAUGGGGGCAACCCUGACCCAGCAACGCCGCGUGAAGGAAGAAGGCUUUCGGGUUGUAAACUUCUUUUAUGAGGGACGAAGGAAGUGACGGUACCUCAUGAAUAAGCCACGGCUAACUACGUGCCAGCAGCCGCCGUAACAC
rnacentral:rRNA from 1 species